rnacentral:rRNA from 1 species
UGAGGAGAUUCAUCGUCAGCGUAUUCAGUAUUAAUGCAGGCUAUGAUGUGAURAUAGAAUCCUCGUGGUCACUAGAUUAUACUUGCUUGUAUUAUUUUUGCUGAGUAUGUCGGCGUGCACUUCUCCUCUAGUAGAACGUCGCAACCCGUUGGAUGUUYAUCUAUGGCCURAAUGGUAGCCUUUGAUAUUUUUUAUAGUCUGCUGUUAGCUGGUAAUGUCUUUAACUGGCUUAUUUACYGGUUAGCGAUGCUACUGCUUUGGGUACUUACAGGACCCGUCUUGAAACACGGACCAAGGAGUCUAACAUGUGCGCGAGUCAUUGGGAUAUAUUUAUAUAACUCAAACCUAAAGGCGUAAUGAAAGUAUAGAUUGUCUUAAGACAAUUGAGGGAAGAUGGGUUGCGUUACGAUGUAAUCCCGCAUUCCCGGGACGUUC